rnacentral:rRNA from 1 species
GGGUGCGAUCAUACCAGCACUAAUGCACUGGAUCCCAUCAGAACUCCGAAGUUAAGCGUGCUUGGGCGAGAGUAGUACUAGGAUGGGUGACCCCCUGGGAAGUCCUCGUGUUGCACCC